rnacentral:rRNA from 1 species
AGCGAACGCUGGCGGCAGGCUUAACACAUGCAAGUCGAGCGGGCCCUUCGGGGUCAGCGGCAGACGGGUGUGUAACACGUGGGAACGUACCCUUUUGUUCGGAAUAACGCUGGGAAACUAGCGCUAAUACCGGAUACGCCCUUUUGGGGGAAGGCUUGCUGCCGAAGGAUCGGCCCGCGUCUGAUUCGCUUGUUGUUGGGGUAAUGGCUUACCAAGGCGACGAUCAGUAGCUGGUUUGAGAGGAUGAUCAGCCACACUGGGACUGAGAAGCGGCCCAGACUCUUACGCGAGGCAGCAGUGGCGAAUAUUGGACAAUGGGGGGAAGCAUGAUCCAGCCAUGACGCGUGAGUGAUGAAGGCCUUAGGGUUGUAAAGCUCUUUUGUCCGGGACGAUAAUGACGGUACCGGAAGAAUAAGCCCCGGCUAACUUCGUG